GAAGAUUCGUUUUCGUAUGCGAAUCAGUUGGGUUAACUUUAUGGCUCAACUAUAAAACCAGGUCAAUUGCUGGAACGCCUGAGUAUAUCAAGGUAGGAUACUACGAAGAAAUUACGUAGCGAACCCUGAAAAUCCAAGAUUGCAGGAAAUCAGCAGCCGAGCUCCUAAAUUUAUUAGAUAAGGAGAAGGUUCAACGACCAAGUGGCUAUGUAGGUGACUAAGUAGCUCGAACCUGGCUUCUCAAAACAAACAAAUUCAAAGGGUGUAUACAUUUAUUAUAGUUUAUGCCAUAUUCAUGUGCAUCAAACAUAUGAUAAAUGGUUAAAUGAAGAAUUUGGCGAGAAGAAGAUAUGGUCUGAACUCUAUAGCGAUAUAGAG
rnacentral:ncRNA from 2 species